CAUAGCGACUAUCGUGGCAUAUCAAUAAGCGGAGGAAAAGAAACUAACAAGGAUUCCCUUAGUAACGGCGAGUGAAGCGGGAAGAGCUCAAAUUUGAAAUCUUCAAGGUUCUACCUUGACGAAUUGUAGUUUAUAGAAGUGUUUUCUGUUAGUGGAGUGGCAAAAGUUCUUUGGAAUAGGACAUCAUAGAGGGUGAGAAUCCCGUAUUUGGUCAUUCCUCCUAGCGUUGUGAUACACUUUCAACGAGUCGGAUUGUUUGGGAAUGCAGUCCAAAAUGGGUGGUAAAUUUCAUCUAAAGCUAAAUAUUGGCGAGAGACCGAUAGCGAACAAGUACCGUGAGGGAAAGAUGAAAAGAACUUUGAAAAGAGAGUUAAACAGUACGUGAAAUUGUCAAAAGGGAAGCGUUUGACACCAGUGUUGUUUAGUUGAAAAUCAAUUCAAUAGUUUUUGAUUCUAAGUAGUAUUGACUUCAUCAGCUUGCUGCUUUUUUCUCAGAAAAUUAUUGAAUGCACUUUUCAGUUAACAAGUCAACAUCAAUUUCUUUUGUUGUAAAAGGGUAAGAGGAAGGUGGCUUGCGCUUCGGCUCAAGUGUUUAUAGCCUUUUAUCUCUGCAAUCGGAGAGAUUGAGGUCUGCAGCGUAGAUCCUUCGGGGUUAGAUACAUUGGUGCUAAGCUAUAGCCUUGUAUAGACAACUUGUUGACUAUGCUCAGUCCAUGUAGCUUACUCGCUGAUGCUAUUUUACCUACGCUUAGGAUGUUGAUAUGCAUGACUGAUAU
rnacentral:rRNA from 1 species